rnacentral:rRNA from 1 species
UCCGUAGGCGGUGCGGCAAGUCGGAAGUGAAAUCUCUGGGCUUAACUCAGAGGCUGCUUCCGAAACUGCCGUGCUCGAGUGUGAGAGAGGCGAGUGGAAUUACGGGUGUAGCGGUGAAAUGCGUAGAUAUCCGUAGGAACAUCCGAGGCGAAAGCGGCUCGCUGGAUCACAACUGACGCUGAGGGACGAAAGCUAGGGGAGCAAACAGGAUUAGAUACCCUGGUAGUCCUAGCCCUAAACCAUCAGGACUUGGGGUUUGCCCUGUACGGGGCAAGUCCCGGAGCUAACGCGUUAAGUCCUGCGCCUGGGGAGUACGGUCGCAGGGCUGAA